GGGCGCAWKYCUGAUGCAGCGMCGCCGCGUGCGGGAUGACGGCCUUCGGGUUGUAAACCGCUUUUGAUCGGGAGCAAGCCUUCGGGUGAGUGUACCUUUCGAAUAAGCACCGGCUAACUACGUGCCAGCAGCCGCGGUAAUACGUAGGGUGCAAGCGUUAUCCGGAAUUAUUGGGCGUAAAGGGCUCGUAGGCGGUUCGUCGCGUCCGGUGUGAAAKUYCAUCGCUUAACGGUGGAUCUGCGCCGGGUACGGGCGGGCUGGAGUGCGGUAGGGGAGACUGGAAUUCCCGGUGUAACGGUGGAAUGUGUAGAUAUCGGGAAGAACACC
rnacentral:rRNA from 1 species